CAGGCUUUGGUCUCAGGUCCUUUUGUCCACAGGAUCAGGCUUUGGUCUCAGGUCCUUUUGUCCACAGGAUCAGGCUUUGGUCUCAGGUCCUUUUGUCCACAGGAUCAGGCUUUGGGCUCAGGUCCUUUUGUCCACAGGAUCAGGCUUUGGUCUUGGGUCCUUUUGUCCACAGGAUCAGGCUUUGGUCUCGGGUCCUUUUGUCUGCAGGAUCAGGUUUUGGUCUCGGGUCCUUUUGUCUACAGGAUCAGGUUUUGGUCUACCCCAGAGUCCACACAUGUCAGAUUGGUGUCAUAUGUUCUUCAUCACUAGUAUCUGUAUAAACUGUUUUAUCUCCUUCAGUUUUGCCAUCGUCCUCUGGUCCUCCUCCUUGGCCAGUUUU